rnacentral:lncRNA from 1 species
GGCAGAGGCAGGACUGUGUUCCUUCUGGGGGCUCCAGGGGAAAAAAAUUCUGUUUGCUCACCUUUGCAGCUUUUUACCGGCUCCCUUCCUCCAUUUUUCAAAACUAACAAAGGGGAGUCAAGUAGUAGACACUUCCAUAUUCGGCAUUCUUCUACUUUUUUAGGACCCUUGAAAUUACAUUGGGCCCACCUGCAGAAUCCAGGAUAAUCUCCUAUUUUAAAAUCAAUAGAUUAGCAAUCCUAAUCCUCCUUUUCCAUAUAACGUAAUAUGUACAGGUUCUGGGGUUAGGACAUGUAUAUCUGUGAAGGACCAUCCUACCUACCAUAGAUGGCCUUUCUACUACCAGCAUAUAACUAUUAUCAGAUUUUGCUUAAAAAGAUCAAGCAUUUAGAUUAUGUCCCAAAUGAAAUAAUAUGGACUAUUUCAAUACAUUUCAUGAGUAUAAGAAUAUAAGACAUAUUUAAACUUAACUGUAAAUUCUAUAUUUCAAAGGAAAGAUUUAGAAAAAAAUAGCACAAAUCAUAAGUAACAUGCAAUUUAAAAAAAAACAUUUCACAUCAUGGACAUAAUAUUUUGUUAUUAGGGCUCUACUUUUUUAAAGACAUCUGUUAUUUAAUACAAAAUAAAUAUUGAUUAGAUGGUUUUGAUAGUUGGCAGUCACAAUUUCUUAGGUUCUGUAAGAAAGUAAAUUUGAAAGAAAAGUUAAAUAAAAUCAUUCCAAGUAGUCUGAUACAUAUCUCUUAUUCUUGUCUGCACACACAGAAAACAAGUGUGCUACAAUUUAAAAGAAACUAAGGUAUAAGGAACACUUUGGUUAUUUAGAUUAAGAGAACUAGAGGAGGGGAGAGGAACCUGAAUUCCUCCUUCACUGUUCUUUCAUAAUUUACAGUUCAUCUCAAAGACCCCAUUCCUUCACAUUAUAUGUAUUAAUAAGUGUGCAUUUAAAAUUGAUAGACUGCUAAUUUACACCUUAAGUUCAUCGGUGUUGUAGUGAUUAUUUUAUCUUAUACCUUCUUAGACUUAUCAUUUUCAUAAUGUAAAAACCUAUGCAAUACUUAGUGCUUUAAAAAUGGUUUCUGAACCAAUAUAGUACUCAGGAAGAGAAAUGUUGAAAAUGAAUCUUGUAAUUAAGAAUGAAUUAAAGAAAUACAUAUUUCUUUUCACUUUGACUUUCACAAAAGUGUAGUCCACUUUUAACUUUAAAGUAGCUGUUAGGUUUUUUUUUUUUUUUUUUGGUGUGUGUGUGUGUGUUUUAAAUUAUUCUGAUUUGUUAAUUUCAAAUGACAGCAGAAUGCAUUUCAUAGUACACACAUGGAGCACAAUUUUUUAUGUCUCUGGUUGUACACAAAGUAUAGUCACACCAUUCGUGUCUUCAUACAUGUACUUAGGGUAAGGAUUUGUUUAUUUUUAAAUCUCUGAUUUAAUUCUUCAUUGUUAAGAUUGAGAAACCAUGAAGUGCUAUUUCUUUAUGAGAAAAAUUUUCUUAGAGAAAAAGUCCCACGUAGUUAUGGAAGAUGUCAAUUUGCUGUUUGUCUUAUGGCCUUGGUCACCCAAGCGUGUGCUAAACAACCCCAAUAAGCUAGCAUUCUAACUUCAUAAACUUAAAAAUGGAAGGGAAGCAUUUUCACACAGUCAUAACACAUAAUAAACAGCUUUAAAGA